UACGUAGGGGGCAAGCGUUGUCCGGAUUUAUUGGGCGUAAAGAGCGUGUAGGCGGCCAUUCAGGUCAGCUGUGAAAACUCGAGGCUCAACCUCGAGACGUCGGUUGAAACCGUUUGGCUAGAGUCCGGAAGAGGAGAGUGGAAUUCCCGGUGUAGCGGGUGAAAUGCGCAGAUAUCGGGAAGAACACCCGUGGCGAAGGCGGCUCUCUGGGACGGUACUGACGCGUGAGACGCGAAAGCGUGGGGAGCGAACAGG
rnacentral:rRNA from 1 species